UACGGAGGGUGCGAGCGUUGUCCGGAAUAAUUGGGCGUAAAGGGCGCGUAGGUGGCGGGACAAGCGUGCGGUGAAAGCUCGGGGCUCAACCCCGAGUCGGCCGUGCGAACUGUUUUGCUUGAGCACUGUAGAGGCAGGCGGAAUUCCGGGUGUAGCGGUGGAAUGCGUAGAGAUCCGGAAGAACACCGGUGGCGAAGGCGGCCUGCUGGGCAGUAGCUGACACUGAGGCGCGACAGCGUGGGGAGCAAACAGG
rnacentral:rRNA from 1 species